GUCGGAAUAGCUCAAUUGGUAGAGUAGAAGACUGAAAAUUCUCGUGUCACCAAUUCAAAUUUGAUUCUUGGCA